AAAGUUUGACCAAAGAAAAUUAAAUUUUAUUUCUCAAAAACAAUGUUUUCCUCCAUUUCCAGUUACACAGUCGAAUGUGGUGAUAACAUCGUGUGUUUUCAAUUUAGAAUAUUUGCAUUCAUAAAAUGCCAAGAAAAUGUUCGACAACUCAUCCUGGCACUAAAUCUAAUUACACCAAUUCUUCACUUCAAGAGGCUUUAGCCAAAAUUAAAUUAGAAAAAAAUGUCGAUUGGUGAAGCUUCUAAAAUUUAUAAAGUACCUAAAGUAACAUUAUUUUAUAAGCUAAAAAGUAAACACUGUAAAUCAGUAGGGCGCCCUAUUGCCUUUAGCAUUGAUGAGGAACUUUGUUUUGAAAAUCACUUACUUUAUUUAAGUGACAAAGGUAUACCAAUUGGAAUUAAUUAUUUUAAAAGUAUUGUCAAAAUCUAUCUGGAUGAUAGUGGAAAAAAUAUACAACAGUUUAAAGAUAACCUACCAGGUUGGGAGUGGUGUAAACUUUAUCUUGACAGGCAUCCAUCAUUAAAAGAAAAUGUCUCAUUGUAUUUCAAGGAAAAAAUCUCAUUGUAUUUCAAGGAAACGUGCACAGAAUAAUUAUUGUCAAAUAAAAUUAUUUUUUCAAAAUCUAGAGAAGGAAUUAAAUGGAGUAACGUCAGAUAACAUUUACAAUAUGGAUGAAACAGAGUUUCAUGAUGACCUGGAAAAAAAAACUUAUUUUUCGUUGAUCCUCUCGCCAUCCAGAACUUAUAAGAAACACAACAAAAACUUGUUACACUGUUGUUUUUUGUGGAAAUGCCUCAGGAAAACUAAUUCCACCAUUUUUCAUUUUUAAAGGAAAACACAGUUGGUCUGACUGGCUUUUCAAUGCACCAGAAGGAUCAAGAAUGGCAACUUCUUG